UACGAAGGGUGCAAACGUUGCUCGGAAUUAUUGGGCGUAAAGCGCACGUAGGCGGCAUUGCAAGUCGAAUGUGAAAUCCCUCGGCUUAACCAAGGAAGUGCAUCCGAAACUGCAGUGCUUGAGUACUUAAGAGGAUCGCGGAAUUCUCGGUGUAGAGGUGAAAUUCGUAGAUAUCGGGAGGAACACCAGUGGCGAAGGCGGCGAUCUGGGAAGAUACUGACGCUGAGGUGCGAAAGCGUGGGGAGCAAACAGA
rnacentral:rRNA from 1 species